CCUACGGGAGGCAGCAGUGAGGAAUAUUGGUCAAUGGCCGAGAGGCUGAACCAGCCAAGUCGCGUGAGGGAAGACGGCCCUACGGGUUGUAAACCUCUUUUGUCGGGGAGCAAAGCGAGUCACGUGUGACUCAUUGAGAGUACCCGAAGAAAAAGCAUCGGCUAACGCCGUGCCAGCAGCCGCGGUAAUACGGGGGAUGCGAGCGUUAUCCGGAUUUAUUGGGUUUAAAGGGUGCGCAGGCGGAGGUGCAAGUCAGCGGUCAAAUUGCGGGGCUCAAACCCGUACUGCAGUUGAAACUGCAUCCUUUGAGUGGGCGAGAGGUAUGCGGAAUGCGUGGUGUAGCGGUGAAAGGCAUAGAUAUCACGCAGAACUCCGAUUGCGAAGGCAGCAUACCGGCGCGCAACUGACGCUCAUGCACGAAAGCGUGGGUAUCGAACAGGAUUAGAUACCCGUGUAGUC
rnacentral:rRNA from 1 species